rnacentral:rRNA from 1 species
AGAUUGAACGCUGGCGGCAGGCCUAACACAUGCAAGUCGAGCGGCAGCACGGGUACUUGUACCUGGUGGCGAGCGGCGGACGGGUGAGUAAUGCCUAGGAAUCUGCCUGGUAGUGGGGGAUAACGCUCGGAAACGGACGCUAAUACCGCAUACGUCCUACGGGAGAAAGCAGGGGACCUUCGGGCCUUGCGCUAUCAGAUGAGCCUAGGUCGGAUUAGCUAGUUGGUGAGGUAAUGGCUCACCAAGGCGACGAUCCGUAACUGGUCUGAGAGGAUGAUCAGUCACACUGGAACUGAGACACGGUCCAGACUCCUACGGGAGCAGCAGUGGGAAUAUUGGACAAUGGGCGAAAGCCUGAUCCAGCCAUGCCGCGUGUGUGAAGAAGGUCUUCGGAUUGUAAAGCACUUUAAGUUGGAGGAAGGCAGUUACCUAAUACGUAUCUGUUUUGACGUUACGACAGAAUAAGCACCGGCUAACUCUGUG